rnacentral:lncRNA from 1 species
UGUCUGUAAGUAGACAGCAUUGAGCUCCUGAGGAUUUUUAGUUGUGCUUUUGUGAAGCAAGAGGUUGCACUGGGAAUGUUGGUGAGGGUAAGGCAGAUAUUUCAUUUAGAAUAGAGUUCAAUGUUAGUUAUGGCAUCUAGAGGCUAACUGUCAAUUUUAGUCAGAGAUGUCUGGGUGUAGAAUAUGCUGCUGAGAGGACAGAAUCAAUGACUUCUAACCCCCUCCCUUCAGGCUUCUCUGCCACAUAGGACAGUGACACGGAAUGACAGUGUCUGCAAAUAUUGAGGGGUUAUUUGUAAAAUGACGAAUGAUGGAAGUCCAUCUGCCCGUAGCUUACAUUACAGAUAGAUCCAGGAAGUGUGCACAGGUUAGAGAGGCAUUUCUUCUGGACCCAGCCGGUGCUUCGUGGCUCCCUGUCACUAAGUGCUCUCUGCUUCCUGUGACAAUCACUUUUCUGACAGAGCGAGAAAUGUUAGACUGCUAGUCAGAGGCACUUCAGAUAAGGAGUCGAGCAGCCAGGCUGCUUCUCUUUGGAAGGCAAUGGCUUCCGUGUAGGACUAAGGACAUUAGUGUCACAGCCGUCAGACCUCAGCUAUCCUGGAGGGCAGAGUCCAUGAUUCUCAGAGUCCACUAUUUUGGGGUUGUUUGUUUGUUUUAGUUUUUAUUUUUUUAUUUUUUAUCUUUUGGUGGCUUAGUUUUUAAGACAGGGUUUCUCUGUGUAGCCCUGGCUGUCAUGGAACUCGCUCUAUAGACCAGACUGGCCUCGAAUUCACAGAGAUCUGACAGCCUCUGCCUCCUAAGUGCUGGGAUUAAAGGCUUACACCAUUGAUUUUUUUUUUUUCAAUGAACCCUAUACAUUAUCUGGCUAGCUGUUUAUAGAAUUCCCUGAAAACUGAAUUUCAGUAUAUUUAAAUUUUUUUAAAAACUGAGAUGUCACAUACAUAUUAGAAGUAAAACAUUGCUUUAAUAUACAGGCCCAAAUUUUCCUCUAUUGACACAAAGCAAUACACAAUGUUUCCCUUUUUUAAAAAAAUUUUGGUAGUUUUUGAGACCGGGUUGGUGUAGUCUUGGCUGUUCUGGAAGUCACUAUGUAAACUAGGCUGGCCUUGAACUCAGAGAUCGCCUGCCUUGUGUCAUGAGUGCUGGGAUCCAUAAGCCACCAUGCUUGGCUGAUGUUUCCCUUCUAGAGAGACAGCUCUUUAAAUUUUCACCUUUCCUACUAAUCAAAGUAAAAAAAUUAGACACCCCAAAUCACCAAUAUGUGAAACUAAACUGAAAAUAUCUGACCUUUAGUAAUGACAAAUAUUUUUAGACUUUGUCAAUAUUUAACUCGGUAGUUGGCACAUCUUAGUCUUCAUGCUUCAUGACAGGGUCUCACUCUGUAGCUCAGGCUAUCUUGAAACUCACUAUGUAGCAUAGGUUGACCUUGAAUUUAUAGUGAGCCGGUCUCAGCCUCCCAAGUGCUGCUAUUACAGGCACGCACUACACCUGUCUGUGUUUAUGCAACUACUUAUCCACACUAAUAAAUUGAUAAGCUAGUGCAUACUAAUUGGUUCAUUCCUAUUUUCAGGAUAUAAUCAUCUCUAAGGAGAUUUUUAAACACAGAAACUAUAGCAUUUAGUGAUGUACAUAGUAGAUAGACAUGAUCGCACAUAGAAAAGGAGACCAAAAACAGAUUGAUCCUUUAUUAGUGCCAUGGUUGUGAAUAGCAGUGGUUCAUUUGGUGUUUUCUUUCUAAAAGGUCCAUGGCAAACCCACAAGGCACAGUCAGAAUUGUAGGUUGAUUAACAACAAAUCUACCCAUUCAGUGCGGGGCUGAAAAUAGCAAGCUGUUCCCUGUGUUCGUUCUUCUGAGGGCAUUCUCCUGGACGGGCCCCAAAGGCUGUGGCCAUCAUCCUUCUCAUGACACAGAGUGGCAGGGCACUGGGAGUGCACAGGGUGGGGGAUGGGCAGGGGAUAGGCAUUUCCACAUAGGCUCUAGGCUCUGCCCAGUAGAUUUCACUUCCUUGUGCUUUACAAAGAUCACUAACGGUCAAAUGGGACAAGCACUACACAACUAACCCCUAUUGGGGUUUUUGCUUAAGGGGGAUAACUUUUAACUUGUUGUUUGCGGUGUGAAUUCUUCAAAAGGCCCUCUGAGCAUUGUUACUGGUGUAAAUUGCUUGUGCCUGCCUGGCUUUAAAAAGACUGACCAGAAUGCUCUUCAUGUGGCUUACAGAGUUGGUUCGUUGUUGUGCUUCUUGACCUGGUUUUAUUUCUACCCAUAAUACAAUGAAAUGUUUCACUAAUUAAAGAAAGUUUCU